UCGGGUGCAAUGUGCAAAAAAUCCAUUGGGUGUUUGCGACAUUUGUGUGGGGGUCUAACUGGGAAAGGUGCAGUCGUACGAAUUUGUUUAGAUGGGUAAAG
rnacentral:lncRNA from 1 species